rnacentral:rRNA from 1 species
ACCACAGAAGGUAAUAGUCCUGUAUGUUAAACGAGAAGACUUUAGAUAUGAUCCAGAGUACCACGGGACACGUGAAACCCUGUGGGAAGCAGGAGGGACCACCCUCCAAGGCUAAAUACUACCUAGUGACCGAUAGCGUAUAGUACCGUGAGGGAAAGGUGAAAAGAACCCCGGGAGGGGAGUGAAAUAGAACCUGAAACCCUGCACUUACAAGCUGUGGAAGCACAUUUCUUGUGUGACCGCGUACUUUUUGUAGAACGGGCCAACGAGUUACGUUAAGUAGCAAGGUUAAGCACUUAAGGUGUGGAGCCGUAGCGAAAGCGAGUUUUAACUGAGCGUUCAGUUACUUGACGUAGACCCGAAACCGGGCGACCUACCCAUGAGCAGGAUGAAGCGAAAGUAAAAUUUCGUGGAGGUCCGAACCCACGAGCGUUGAAAAGCUCGGGGAUGACUUGUGGGUAGCGGUGAAAUUCCAAUCGAGCCCGGAGAUAGCUGGUUCUCCCCGAAAUAGCUUUAGGGCUAGCCUCAAGGUGAGAGAUACGGAGGUAGAGCACUGAAUGUCCUAGGGGGUAUUGCACCUACCGAAGACUAUCAAACUCCGAAUGCCGUCAUCUUAUACUUGGGAGUCAGACUGUGGGUGAUAAGAUUCAUAGUCGAAAGGGCAACAGCCCAGAUCGUCAGCUAAGGUCCCUAAAUGUAAGUUAAGUGGUAAAGGAUGUGGGAUUGCACAGACAACCAGGAUGUUGGCUUAGAAGCAGCCACUCAUUCAAAGAGUGCGUAAUAGCUCACUGGUCGAGUGAUCCUGCGCCGAAGAUUUCCGGGGCUAAAACUUACUACCGAAGCUACGGCAUCAGUAAUGAUGGGUAGGGGAGCUUCCCAUACGGGUUGAAGCAUGACCGUAAGGACAUGUGGACAGUAUGGGAGUGAGAAUGUUGGCAUGAGUAGCGAGAUGUGGGUGAGAAUCCCACAGGCCGUAAACCCAAGGUUUCCAGGGGAAGGUUCGUCCGCCCUGGGUUAGUCGGGACCUAAGCUGAGGCCGAAAGGCGUAGGUGAUGGACAACAGGUUGAUAUUCCUGUACUACCGAUAACCGUUUGAGAGAAGGGAUGACACAGUAGGAUAAGCUAAGCACACUGUUGGUUAUGUGUGCCCAAGCAUUGAGGCAGUCAAAGUAGGCAAAUCCGCUUUGAUAAUGCUGGGAUGUGAUGGGGAGCGAAAUUUAGUAGCGAAGUAGCUGAUUUCACACUGUCAAGAAAAGUCUCUAUCGAGGUUAAAGGUACCCGUACCGCAAACCGACACAGGUGGGUGAGGAGAGUAUCCUAAGGCCAGCGAGAGAACUGUUGUUAAGGAACUCGGCAAAAUGACCCCGUAACUUAGGGAUAAGGGGUGCCACCAUUAGGUGGCCGCAGAGAAUAGGCCCAAGCGACUGUUUACCAAAAACAUAGGUUUCUGCUAAGUCGCAAGACGAUGUAUAGGAGCUGACGCCUGCCCGGUGCUGGAAGGUUAAGGGGAUCUGUUAGAG